CACCAUCAUCCUUUUGUAGGUGGAUGUCAUUCAAACUGCAACGGCCGUAGAGAGAGAAGCCGCAGACGCAACCUACCCCAGGAUGGAUUCAGCUGGCUGCCGGUAACGUUCGAUCCGAAACCCGGCCGGUUCGUUCUAUUCAAUAUUCGCUUGAAUAAGUCGCCCCCUAGCGGCGCGAGGCGGUGCUCGCAUCCGCACUGAGCGCACGGAGGCGUCGGCGCGCACAGCCACCUGUGACAUAAGAGUUUGUGAGCGUGAACCCCGGUGGAUCGGAGACGGGGAGAGGGAUCCAUCUGGUGGACACUGCCACUGAUACAGUACAUGUUUGGGUGAUGAACGUGAAGACCUGCAGGACUCUGCUAAAAAAAACAUUCAUGGGAUGCGGAUUAACAGUGCCACCCGCUGGACACUCCGCGCAAGCACAUUUUAGAUUUGGUUUAUAGAUUCCACAAAUAGCGUACAUCCCGCCAACAGAGGCUUCGCUCUCCUCACCUGUGACGAGGCCACAACGCAUCCACACGUCAAAAGAAGGGG
ensembl:lncRNA